rnacentral:rRNA from 1 species
GACGAACGCUGGCGGCGCGCUUAACACAUGCAAGUCGAGCGAGAACCGGGGCUUCGGCCCCGGGGACAGCGGCGAACGGGUGAGUAACACGUGAGUAACCUGCCCUCGGCACCGGAAUAGCCCGGGGAAACCCGGAUUAAUGCCGGAUGGCCCCUCUGCCCUGCGGGGCGGCGGGAAAAGGUAGCUUCGGCCUCCGGCCGAGGAUGGGCUCGCGGCGGAUUAGCUUGUUGGCGGGGUAACGGCCCACCAAGGCGACGAUCCGUAGCUGGUCUGAGAGGACGAUCAGCCACACUGGGACGGAGACACGGCCCAGACUCCUACGGGAGGCAGCAGUGGGGAAUCUUGCGCAAUGGGCGAAAGCCUGACGCAGCGACGCCGCGUGCGGGAAGAAGGCCCUCGGGUUGUAAACCGCUUUCAGGAGGGACGAAGCCACUCGGGUGAACAGCCCAGAGGGUGACGGUACCUCCAGAAGAAGCCCCGGCUAACUACGUGCCAGCAGCCGCCGCCGUAA